AUUACCAUGUUAAUAUGUUUGAAGUUAAUAUGUUUUUGACCCAAGAAUAAACAUUAAGAUUAUUUUUUAGAAAUGAGCAGCCAAGAUACAGAAGGCGACGAAGAAGUUUCUGCAUUUUUUCGAAAUGUUCAAGAGAUCAGAGCCGAAGAGGUCUUGCCAACGGAAAUAAUGGACAAGCUAAGUGAGGAGUUUUGUUGUUGUUUUUUGUUUUUUUUGUGUGCAAAUACAUUUAUGCUUUUUUAGUUUUUUUAAAGUUAUUUAGCAACUGACUUUUGUCAGUUGUGACAGUUAGUCAGUCAACAAGUGACUUUUGUAACUUUUAAAUUUAUUUUAUUUAGAAAAAUUAGAAGAUUCUGUUGAGAACCUAA